CGGACUUAACUCAUUCUUUUAGAUUGAGAGCGGUUAGUGGCGCACUGGUGAGUAACACGUAAGCAACCUGCCUAUCAGAGGGGAAUAACAGUGAGAAAUCAUUGCUAAUACCGCAUAAGCUAGUAGUAUCGCAUGAUAUAGCUAGAAAAGGAGCAAUCCGCUGAUAGAUGGGCUUGCGUCUGAUUAGCUAGUUGGUGGGGUAACGGCCUACCAAGGCGACGAUCAGUAGCCGGACUGAGAGGUUGAACGGCCACAUUGGGACUGAGAUACGGCCCAGACUCCUACGGGAGGCAGCAGUCGGGAAUAUUGCGCAAUGGAGGAAACUCUGACGCAGUGACGCCGCGUAUAGGAAGAAGGUUUUCGGAUUGUAAACUAUUGUCGUGAGGGAAGAAAUUGACAGUACCUCAGGAGGAAGCUCCGGCUAACUAUGUGCCAGCAGCCGCGGUAAUACAUAGGGAGCGAGCGUUAUCCGGAUUUAUUGGGCGUAAAGCGUCCGCAGCCGGUUUAUUAAGUAUAGAAUAAAACUUCGGGGCUCAACCCCGUCUCGUUCUAUAAACUGAUAGACUAGAGUGUGGUAGAGGCAAGUGGAAUUUCUAGUGUAGCGGUAGAAUGCGUAGAUAUUAGAAGGAACACCAGUGGCGAAGGCGACUUGCUGGGCCAUCACUGACGGUCAGGGACGAAAGCGUGGGGAGCGAAUAGGAUUAGAUACCCUAGUAGUCCACGCCGUANACGAUGAGCACUAAGUGUCGGGCAACCGGUGCUNAAGUUAACACAUUAAGUGCUC
rnacentral:rRNA from 1 species